UCAGGAAAAAAGAAAAAAGAAAAGAAAAAACUGUUUUAAUAACACAUUUUUGGUUGGUAAGCAAAGCAUGCACUCAGUGAAAUUUCAUUUUUUUUCCACUUCAUUCUUAUGGAAGAAGUUGCAUUGAGCUAGAGCUUCAUUCACUUAUUGACACAUGGUUGAUGUCCAAGGGAAAAUUUUUCACUAAGCUCUAAAAAAAUACUCAUGCCUUGUCAUUGGAAUUUGAAUCUGCAGGAUUCUCUUGGAAGGAGCAGCAAAACAGUCAUGAUUGCUUGUGUCAGUCCUGCUGAUACAAAUGUUGAGGAAACAAUAAAGGCUCUGAAGUAUGCUGAUCGUGCCCAUAAUAGUCAGAACAAGGCAGUUAUCAACCGUGAUCUAAUGGCAGCUCAGGGGCAGAGAAUGACGUGCUCAAAUAUUUCAUCGACUUCUGAUGAUGGUGCUCAAAAGUUGAAUAUCCUGGAGGCACAGGUUGCUCAACUUUUGAAACAAAUACAUAGAACCGACAAGGCAGCAAAACGACUUCUAGAAUCUCGAAAGGCUUCCCCCUCAUGCGAAACUUCCAGUGCUGGAAAUGGAAAUGGUCCUGGAAUUCAGACUCUGAUGCAGGCAAUUGAACAUCAGCUUGAAGUCACCGUGCGGGUAUAUGAAGUAUGUGCUGAGUAUGAGCGUCAAUUGGAAGAAGAGAAGGAUUCAGAUAUAAGAGACAUGAAGGAAAAGACAGUGAAGCUCAGUAGCUAUGGCAGGCAGUUGGAGAUGCAAAAACCAAAACCAAACAACUGGUGAAGUCGCAGGAUCACGGGAGCUCCAUUUUCUUAUUGGAGGACAUGGAUACGUCUGAGUCUGCUGUUCUUGCUCCACCAAGUCCUCGUAAAAGAACAUUGGAAAAGAAAGAGAACAAUGGCCUUUGACGUGGAUCGUUGAUAUGGAGUCUGCUGUUCUUGCUCCCUGUUCCUGAUUGUUGAUAUUUGUACCAACAUUGUGAACUUUUUUCUUUUAGAUCAUUAGAUGUAUGAAACUGCCUUAAAUCCAUGGACUUCGUUUUUAGCUGAUUCGUUGAGGAAAGGAUUUUGGUAUCAAACAAUCCACAAAUAUUGUGGCUAGUCAGCUUUAAUUUGAUCACUUCGAGCCACCUUUUGUGGCGUAUGAUUAUGAAAUGAUUUGUUCUGUUGAACA